GCAAUACGCGAAAGCGUGACGGGGCUAUCCCGAGUGCUAUUCGAUGAGAGUAGCUUUUCCUCAGUGUAAAGUGCUGGGGGAAUAAGGAGGGGGCAAGACUGGUGUCAGCCGCCGCGGUAAUACCAGCUCUCCGAGUGAUAGGGACGUUUAUUGGGCCUAAAGCAUCCGUAGCUUGCUGAGUCUGUCCUCCGUUAAAUCCAACGAUUUAAUCGCUGGGCUGCGGGGGAUACUGCUUAGCUAGGAGGCGGGAGGGGCCGACGGUAUUUCCGGGGUAGGGGUGAAAUCCUAUAAUCCCGGGACGACCACCAGUGGCGAAGGCUGUCGGCUAGAACGCGCUCGACGGUGAGGGAUGAAAGCUGGGGGAGCAAUCCGGAUUAGAUACCCGGGUAGUCCCAGCUGUAAACGAUGCAGGCUAGGUGUUGGUGUGGCUACGAGCCGCUCCAGUGCCGCAGGGAAGCCGUUAAGCCUGCCGCCUGGGAAGUACGGCCGCAAGGCUGAAACUUAA
rnacentral:rRNA from 1 species